rnacentral:rRNA from 1 species
AGUGAACGCUGGCGGUAGGCCUAACACAUGCAAGUCGAACGGCAGCACAGUAAGAGCUUGCUCUUACGGGUGGCGAGUGGCGGACGGGUGAGGAAUACAUCGGAAUCUACUUUUUCGUGGGGGAUAACGUAGGGAAACUUACGCUAAUACCGCAUACGACCUACGGGUGAAAGCAGGGGAUCUUCGGACCUUGCGCGAUUGAAUGAGCCGAUGUCGGAUUAGCUAGUUGGCGGGGUGAAGGCCCACCAAGGCGACGAUCCGUAGCUGGUCUGAGAGGAUGAUCGGCCACACUGGAACUGAGACACGGUCCAGACUCCUACGGGAGGCAGCAGUGGGGAAUAUUGGACAAUGGGCGCAAGCCUGAUCCAGCCAUACCGCGUGGGUGAAGAAGGCCUUCGGGUUGUAAAGCCCUUUUGUUGGGAAAGAAAAGCAGCAGGUUAAUACCCCGCUGUUCUGACGGUACCCAAAGAAUAAGCACCGGCUAACUUCGUG